AACCCCCGGCUAUGCCGGGGAGUUCAAAAAAGCUUUAGCGGUGAGUAUAGUAAAAAAACUCCUUUUGAUAUAAUGAAGCUGCGGUCUGCCAACUGCAGCAAGACAUAUCAAAAG
rfam:Clostridium sp. MSTE9 ctg120006483026, whole genome shotgun sequence.